GACGAACGCUGGCGGCGUGCUUAACACAUGCAAGUCGAACGGUGAACGAGGGAGCUUGCUCCCUCCGGAUCAGUGGCGAACGGGUGAGUAACACGUGAGCAAUCUGCCCCGAACUCUGGGAUAAGCGUUGGAAACGACGUCUAAUACCGGAUACGACGCGGGAGGGCAUCCUCUCCGCGUGGAAAGAACUUCGGUUCGGGAUGAGCUCGCGGCCUAUCAGCUUGUUGGUGAGGUAACGGCUCACCAAGGCGACGACGGGUAGCCGGCCUGAGAGGGUGACCGGCCACACUGGGACUGAGACACGGCCCAGACUCCUACGAGAGGCAGCAGUGGGGAAUAUUGCACAAUGGGCGCAAGCCUGAUGCAGCAACGCCGCGUGAGGGACGACGGCCUUCGGGUUGUAAACCUCUUUUAGCAGGGAAGAAGCGAAAGUGACGGUACCUGCAGAAAAAGCACCGGCUAACUACGUG
rnacentral:rRNA from 1 species